rnacentral:sRNA from 1 species
CACAGCUCUCUAUUGGGUCUCGCUCUCGGGGUCCCGCGCGCCGGCAGUGCUGAUUGGCCGCUGGGGCUUCAUUCAUGACCCCCCCCCAGCACCGCCCGCGUACACAUUCACGCCCCGGGGGCGCGGCCGCCACGUGGGGAGUGGCGCGGGGGUGGCACUGGGACCGCACCCCCUCCGGUCCCGGCUGCGUGGGCCCCGCUCUCACCGCAGCGCGGGAGACUCGGAGCCCGGUCGGUCCCCACGUUCCACACAAGCUCAAUUUCCGCCCGCAUCCCACUGGGGCGGGCGGGGGAUUGCGGGCUCCGGGAGGCGCUCGGGCUCCGAGCAGAGACUCAGCCCCGCACUCCUUCCUGCGGUGCGCCGCUGCUUGCGGGCCAGGAUCCCGCGAUUCUAGGCUGCGGCGAGAGCGAGGCAGCGUGACUUCUCGGCUCGGUACCGCGCGGCUGCUCACCUCCGGGGCCUCGCCUCCUGCGGCUGCCAGGUCGCACCGGGCUCUCCCACGGUCUCGGUUUUCCUUCUUCUCCCUAUAGAUUCAGCGUCACAACUAGCUAGACCUAUGCGGUUCUGAAAGUGCAGCAGGCACGGACAGAGUCGGAUCGGCUUGGGCUUCACGCCUCUCGUCGGCUCACCUUCCUUUUCCUGGGCACCGAGGCCAGAUCCACCAUGCUGGUCCUCUCUACUGAUGGGCAUCAUUCUCCUCAAGCCCAGUGAACAGGAAGUGGGAAGUACUCGGAUGACCUCAUAGAAGAUAUGGAUGUCAAGACACAGGAAAUAAACCCAGUGAAGAGUCAGGAUCUGAUACACUGGUGACGUGCUUAAAGGUCUUGUCCACUGAGUUCCCAACCAUGGAGGAUGAGGCAUAGUGCUUGGUUCCCAGACCGUGGCACGGAACUAUCCACAUUGAUGUAAAUCAUUUGAACUCUGGGCUGAGAGGAUGUUUCAGUGCUUGCGUGAGGACCUGAGUUGGAUCUCCGGUACCUACAUAAUAAAAGGAUCUGACUCUGGCUGGUUGUCUGCUAAGGAGACCCUCAAUUCUGAAUGGCCCAUGGGGAUUUCUUCAGUUUGGCUGCUGACUACCUUAAGCAAAAGCCUGUACCUAAGACAGAGCUUAUACAAUGCAGAAUCAUGAAGCAUGGAGUGACACUGUCACCUUCCCCGGUUUAUUAGAAACAACUCAGGAAGAGCAGCAACUGCCAUCACUGUACCAAUGAAGGACUGUGGAGAUCAAGGAACCCUGAUCCCUACCAGGGGAAAGCAGGGCCACCGUGGAAUUGGUCAUAGACACUGUGUGAUCCAACACCCAUGAUUGUCAGUGAAGCCAAACCUCAGAAGACUCUCAGGGCAUGCCCUGGCCCAGUUCCACUUUGUCAGGGCCCAUGGCAACACUGGGUCAUGCAGGUGACCCAGGACAAGCUCCCUGUUGUAAAGCCAGCUGGUUAGCAACUCACUUCACCCACAGCCUUCAUUCCCCGCGGACCAAGCGACGUAGCAGAUUCUCGGUGUCCAAGAUAAGGACUCUAGCAUCAUCUGCCUAGCGUCUUCUGUCGGCUGCCAGUUUGUUCCUGUGGUUCCUAUCAGACCGAACCUCCGAACAUGAGCCAAGGUGGAAGCUACAGAGAGAUCAGCCAACACUUUUGUCAUUGGGCCACCCGCGUCAUGUCCCUGAGCAUGUGAACAGGUCUCCUCUGGGCUAGAGUGCCCAGAGCUGCAGCCUGCGCCCUGUGCCCCGUGGCAGGAUGUCUUGUGCCAUACACAACCUACACGUGCUCUGUGGCUCUGCCCUGCUGUCUCACACAGCCUGUGACACAAAGCGCCAGUGUGGGCAGCGUGCUUGUUGAACGUGUAAUUGAAUGGAGCCCAGUGCCUUUCGUUCACUCCGCAUCCUGCUCAGGGACCUGUGACCUCCUUCAUUGCGCUUGGCUCUUCAGAGCAGGCUCUAGCCACAGGCACCGUGGAUACUGUAUGCAUGAGUGUGAGCAUCAAUUACGGGCUUCGUUGACCUGGAACCCAAAGUGGAAGUCUGCGCAGGAAGUGACCAUGGCCUGGGCUGGAAAGGCCAGGCCAGGGAGCUGAACCAUGGGGCUUCUGGCCUGCCCUUGCAGCUGCCCCAGCUGCUUCCUUCCCAGUCUCUGCCCCCACCCCCAGCCCCCAUGCAUUCGAGAUUCCCGGGAGGUCGAGCCUGGUGUAAUUACAGGGUAUCUGCUGCCUCCCUAUAAAUCUAAUAGACUUUUUGGCCUUGUCAGAUUAAAACUUACCUAUCAACCCGCCGCAGUCCUCUAGAUCUCCCUAAAUCUGUACUUGGGAGAGAAUUUAUGGCCAGGAAUUGCAUUUUGCAAAAUGAUUAAAGUUGCCAAACAGCCAUAAAAAGUUGCAGGAGGAGAUACGGUUUUUUUGAAAGUCUGCUUAAUUUAUAAGGGGUGGAAGGUUUAUUGUCAUUUAGAGUCCACAGCCAGGCAGCGAUGGAGCGUUUGGCGGCAGCUGUGCACAUCUGCUUCUGCUUUAUGCCUUUUACAUGUUUUUAAAUUGCCCUGUUUGAAUCUGCAGCCGCCAAAGCAUCCCGGUCUGCAGAAGGGUGGUUAACUCCUGCCCUCUGACGCUGGCCUCUCAUGCCCUAUUCCUCAGACGACCCGACUCGCCUCCCAGAAGUGUUCCUGGGUGAUCCCGUCUCACGCCGACUGCUCCAUGCCUUCCUGUCAUCGGCCAGUCCCACCAGCAGAGCCCUCACGUGUGCGAAGCUUUCAAGUCUAUAGGCGGGUUUCGCGUGCCGCGUCUUAACACUUGUCUCCCUGGAUUAAAUGAUUAAACGAGAUCAAACACUCAAGGCUCUAAACGACCGGUGUUACCUCUUGAGCUGAUAAAUAGAAUUAGGGCUCCCGUUUAUUGACCGAAUGCGAGAUGCCAGACCUCUGCUCCUCACUCCUCCUGCAUUAGUUCACAGACUCUUGGCUGCCGCUGUGGGAGACAGCUGUCAGUUGUACCUGGGUUUUGGGAAGUGUGAAGAACUUAAAGCCAAGGUCGUGAAGUCAACACUCAAGCACAUUAGCUAACUAUUGGCAAUGUCAUUAGGGCAAGCAUCUCACUUGUCUGUCUCCCGGGCUGGCACAGAGCAGACCCUGAGUGGAUCCUGUUGAGGGCGAGCCUGCAUGAACUGAGCUGUCCCAGUUGCUGUCUCUUAUCCCCGCCCCGCCUCCCCUUCUCCUUACAGGCAUCAGACCCUGGAUCAUCAGAAGUCUAACUUAGCGCUCAGUCUGGUGUCUGACGUAUUAUAGUUCUUGAUUCGCUGGAAAGAGGACUGAAUACAGUCAAUCCCAACAGUCCUCUGAGGACGGUUUUAGGAACUCCAUCGUGCGGGAGGGAGGGGCCUGAGGGUGUGUGACACCUGUUCAAAUACAGCGUCAGAGCCAGGAUUUGGAUUCGUUUUUUGUUUCUUUGUUUUGUUUUCUCACCAGCGCCCGCCCACCUAACCACCUGGCAGACGUUUGGGGGGCUGGGGGAGAUUCGGAAGUGUUUCUUCUUCACCACCAUCCUGUCUAGUAUCUAUUAAAUACCCAUCACUCACCAGCUGCAGACAUUCUCCAGAAAGCCCCAGAACACCUUCCCAGAGGUGUCUGUUAUUCUUCCCAUUUUACAGAUGUGGAAGCAGGUUGAAGGAGGCUGCCUAGUAACUGACUGAUCUGAUUCCUGAGCCUCCUGCCAGCGCCAUGGAGUGAAGAGAAGUUUGGCCCUGGGAUGAUGAGAUGGAUCCACUUGGAUGUUCUCCGGCCCCACCCCCACCCCGCAUCCUUGUCCCUCCAUCCUUGCUGUACAAGUGGUCUGCCUUCGUGCUCACAGCCAGGCUCAGCAGGGAGAGUAGCCUCGUCCUUGGAUUUCCCUGCUUCCCAGACACUGCAGACAACUAAAGCCUGGUCUAGGCUCGUCCCCCCCACUCCCGGGUGGGCGCAUUUAUUCUUUCUCUCAUUCAUUUGUUGAUUCAUUCAACCAGUAGUUUCUGAGCUCUUAGGGUCUGCUAGACUGGGAACACAGCAGCGACCCCAGCUGACCAGUCUGUUGUCUUCACAGAGGUUACCCCACUGACUGGAUAGACACGUCGGUUUUUAGUGAGCAACCCAGGCCUUGAUGUGAGUAAUACCUGAGGCACGGUGGGAAGUGCCUGGCUAUUGCUUUGGUUCGCAGACAGAGAUCUCAUCUCCACCACAAGAGGGGACGUCUGCAGGGGGAUCUGAGUAUGAUGAAGCUAUUCAAAGGAAGAUCCAGAUACAGAACAUCCCAUACUCGGUCAGGAGUCAUUCCAGCACCAACAUCUGACUCCGAUGCUCUCGUAGACCACAGGCCUUUUCUAGCCAGCUCUGGGAGUGGUGUCUGACAAAUGCUUUCUGGGCUGACGUGAGUUUUUUGCGUACUCUAGCAGAAGCACUGAGUUAGCAAGUCCCCUUUGUUUGAACAAACAAGAUUAGAAGCCUCCUGGUAAGGCUCAAGCCAAUCUACACUUUCUGGGACUUCUGGCCUCUGGAGGGCUCCUCGGUGUUUUCUAAAAGCCAGUGAGAGUAAAAAUUUGAAUAGAUAUCUCUCAAAAGCUGGUCCUGUAUUACCUUGAGACAAGUGUUUGUUAAAAAAAAAAAGAUUCUAGUUGCUAGAACACAUCUUGUAAAUACUUGUGUUUGAAAAUGUACACUUCCGGGAUGCUUUGCGGGUUCCUGUGCAUGUUCACGUACGACUGGAAAUCUGUUUGUCACAGAUGCUUCCCGGGCCUGGUGGUUGUUUUCUCUUUGCUAAUUAAUCUACUGAUGUGGAAUUAUGCAUCUUUCUCCAUAAGCUAGGAGUGUAUUUAAAAGCUCAU